rnacentral:rRNA from 1 species
AGCGAACGCUGGCGGCAGGCUUAACACAUGCAAGUCGAACGCCCCGCAAGGGGAGUGGCAGACGGGUGAGUAACACGUGGGAACGUACCCUUUGGUUCGGAAUAACUUGGGGAAACUCAAGCUAAUACCGGAUAAGCCCUUAUGGGGAAAGGCUUACUGCCGAAGGAUCGGCCCGCGUCUGAUUAGCUAGUUGGUGAGGUAAUGGCUCACCAAGGCGACGAUCAGUAGCUGGUCUGAGAGGAUGAUCAGCCACACUGGGACUGAGACACGGCCCAGACUCCUACGGGAGGCAGCAGUGGGGAAUAUUGGACAAUGGGGGCAACCCUGAUCCAGCCAUGCCGCGUGAGUGAUGAAGGCCUUAGGGUUGUAAAGCUCUUUUACCCGGGACGAUAAUGACUGUACCGGGAGAAUAAGCCCCGGCUAACUUCGUGCCAGCAGCCGCCGCAGUAA